rnacentral:rRNA from 1 species
UACCUUUUGUAUAAUGGGUCAGCGACUUAUAUUCUGUAGCAAGGUUAACCGAAUAGGGGAGCCGAAGGGAAACCGAGUCUUAACUGGGCGUUAAGUUGCAGGGUAUAGACCCGAAACCCGGUGAUCUAGCCAUGGGCAGGUUGAAGGUUGGGUAACACUAACUGGAGGACCGAACCGACUAAUGUUGAAAAAUUAGCGGAUGACUUGUGGCUGGGGGUGAAAGGCCAAUCAAACCGGGAGAUAGCUGGUUCUCCCCGAAAGCUAUUUAGGUAGCGCCUCGUGAAUUCAUCUCCGGGGGUAGAGCACUGUUUCGGCAAGGGGGUCAUCCCGACUUACCAACCCGAUGCAAACUGCGAAUACCGGAGAAUGUUAUCACGGGAGACACACGGCGGGUGCUAACGUCCGUCGUGAAGAGGGAAACAACCCAGACCGCCAGCUAAGGUCCCAAAGUCAUGGUUAAGUGGGAAACGAUGUGGGAAGGCCCAGACAGCCAGGAUGUUGGCUUAGAAGCAGCCAUCAUUUAAAGAAAGCGUAAUAGCUCACUGGUCGAGUCGGCCUGCGCGGAAGAUGUAACGGGGCUAAACCAUGCACCGAAGCUGCGGCAGCGACGCUGAUGCGUUGUUGGGUAGGGGAGCGUUCUGUAAGCCUGC